GGUGAGUAAUGCCUAGGAAUCUGCCUGGUAUGGGGGACAACGUUUCGAAAGGAACGCUAAUACCGCAUACGUCCUACGGGAGAAAGCAGGGGACCUUCGGGCCUUGCGCUAUCAGAUGAGCCUAGGUCGGAUUAGCUAGUUGGUGAGGUAAUGGCUCACCAAGGCGACGAUCCGUAACUGGUCUGAGAGGAUGAUCAGUCACACUGGAACUGAGACACGGUCCAG
rnacentral:rRNA from 1 species